CAUGGGCAGGUUGAAGGUUGGGUAACACUAACUGGAGGACCGAACCGACUAAUGUUGAAAAAUUAGCGGAUGACCUGUGGCUGGGGGUGAAAGGCCAAUCAAACCGGGAGAUAGCUGGUUCUCCCCGAAAGCUAUUUAGGUAGCGCCUCGUGAAUUCAUCUCCGGGGGUAGAGCACUGUUUCGGCUAGGGGGCCAUCCCGGCUUACCAACCCGAUGCAAACUGCGAAUACCGGAGAAUGUUAUCACGGGAGACACACGGCGGGUGCUAACGUCCGUCGUGAAGAGGGAAACAACCCAGACCGCCAGCUAAGGUCCCAAAGUCAUGGUUAAGUGGGAAACGAUGUGGGAAGGCCCAGACAGCCAGGAUGUUGGCUUAGAAGCAGCCAUCAUUUAAAGAAAGCGUAAUAGCUCACUGGUCGAGUCGGCCUGCGCGGAAGAUGUAACGGGGCUAAACCAUGCACCGAAGCUGCGGCAGCGACACUGUGUGUUGUUGGGUAG
rnacentral:rRNA from 1 species